rnacentral:rRNA from 1 species
CCUACGGGAGGCAGCAGUGGGGAAUCUUGCGCAAUGGGCGAAAGCCUGACGCAGCAACGCCGCGUGCGGGAAGAAGGCUUUCGGGCUGUAAACCGCUUUCAGCAGGAACGAAAAUGACGGUACCUGCAGAAGAAGGAGCGGCCAACUAUGUGCCAGCAGCCGCGGUGAUACAUAGGCUUCAAGCGUUGUCCGGAUUUAUUGGGCGUAAAGAGUUCGUAGGCGGUCGAGUAAGUCGGGUGUGAAAAUUCUGGGCUCAACCCAGAGACGCCACCCGAUACUGCUUGACUUGAGUUCGAUAGGGGAGUGGGGAAUUCCUAGUGUAGCGGUGAAAUGCGCAGAUAUUAGGAGGAACACCGGUGGCGAAGGCGCCACUCUGGAUCGAUACUGACGCUGAGGAACGAAAGCAUGGGUAGCAAACAGGAUUAGAUACCCUGGUAGUCCAUGCUGUAAACGGUGGGCACUAGGUGUGGGUUUCUAUUAACGAAAUCCGCGCCGUCGCUAACGCAUUAAGUGCCCCGCCUGGGGAGUACGGUCGCAAGACUAAAACUCAAAGGAAUUGACGG